GAGUGAUUUUCCAAAAAGAAGUGAUUUACAUUCACCUGGCUUUUCCUCUGGCUUGGUUGGACAUGCUUGAAACCAUGCACCCUUUAUUCCUGACAGGAAAGAAGACAACAUAGGACAUCACCUAAUGCCACUCCUGUGAGAAGAAAGAGACAGCUUGAGGAAUAAAAGACAUGAUCCGGCGGAGCUCUUCCAGAGGCACGAGGAUAGGACACAUCCAUGGGCCCUGGUAAACCAAAAAGAGCACUGGAUUCAGCAGCCACUUCAGGAGGAGAGCAAGGUAGACCAAAAGUGAAGCUACAUCUGCUCUCUACUGUGAAAUACAUACCAGCAUGA
rnacentral:lncRNA from 1 species